GUGAUUAAGUUCAUCCUCAUCAUUCUCUGGUUCUUGCUCUAUUUUUUUUGUAGACCAACUGUAUGUUUUAAACAAGUUUAUUUUUAAGCUUAGCACAGCUUUGAUGUAAUUUGUUUGUGUGUGGGAAAGCUGUCAUUAGAGGUGAUUUGGAUUUAAUACAUAUUCUUGUUUCUUCUGUUUGUUUUCAGAUCUUCCCCUGCUCUGACAACGUGCGGUCAAGUUUGUAAGGCCAGCUAUCUGGCUGAUGCCUUAGUUCCGUGCAGUAUACAAACAGCAAGGAAUUGGCUGCACCGUCGCUCAUUCUUGAACUACACAAACCAUUAAGGAAGUUUGCUCUCUCAGGUCUGAGGUCCUGAAACGGGAGUCUCCAUCCAGACUACCAAUGAUAGAUUACCUCUUGUGACCGCCUUUUAUCGCAUCCAUCCUUGCCUAUUGUGACCGCCUUUCAUCGCAUAUAACCUCGCCUCUGUUCCAUCCUACAUGGUACCGUAAUCACCACAUUCUCCACACUCUUGACCGUCUGCAUUAUUCACAUACUGUACAUAUCAACAGUUGAUUGAAGGUUGGAAGUUCCCAUCACACUUUGUCAUCAAACCAGACAGCUUUCAACCAGAAUCUUCCAGGUGUAAAAAAAAAAAGUAAAGUCCUGGAUUUUCAGUACGGUAUAUGUUUUGUGUUCUUUGUAUAAAAGACUUCUAUACACUCCUUCCAUUUUCAGACGUCUUGUUGGACUGAAAUAUUUUUCACUUCCACUCAUUUCACCUCCCCUCUAAGAAGACAUUUCCCAUAAGCAAAAAAA